rnacentral:rRNA from 1 species
GACGUAGUGCGCGAUCGUUGUCCGGAUUUAUUGGGCGUAAAGAGCUCGUAGGCGGCUUGUCGCGUCGGCUGUGAAAACCCGCGGCUCAACUGUGGGCGGGCAGCUGAUACGGGCAGGCUGGAGUUCGGUAGGGGAGACUGGAAUUCCUGGUGUAGCGGUGAAAUGCGCAGAUAUCAGGAGGAACACCGGUGGCGAAGGCGGUUCUCUGGGCAGUACCUGACGCUGAGGAGCGAAAGUGUGGGGAGCGAACAGG